AGAUAUCUAGCAAGAACACCAGUGAUGAAAGCGGCACUCUUGGCGUGCAGAUGACGGUGAGAGGCGAUAGCUAGAGGAGCGAACUGGCAUAGAUAUCCCGGUAGUCCUAGCUGUCAGCGAUGGAUACUGGAUAUCGGGGGCAUAAAAGCCCUCUGUGACGAAGCAAACGCAUUAAGUAUCCCGCCGAUGAUUUUCGGCGGCAAGGUUAAAACUCAAAGGAAUUGACGGGGGCCCGCACAAGCAGCGGAGCGUGUGGUUUAAUUCGAAGCAACACGAAGAACCUUACCUUGGUUUGACAUGUACAUAGUAGGGAUCCGAAAGGAGACCGACCCUUCGGGGAGUGUACACAGGUGCUGCAUGGCUGUCGUCAGCUAGUCAGUGAGAUGUUGGGUUAAGUCCCGUAACGAGCGCAACCCUUGUCGUUAGUUACAAGUGUCUAGCGAGACCGCCGGACAUAUAACCGGAGGAAGGUGGGGAUGACGUCACGUCAGCAUGGCCUUUAUGUCCAGGGCGACACUCACUCUACAAUGGUCGGUACAGAGGGCAGCGAAGUCGCGAGGUGGAGUGAAUCCCAAAAAGCCGAUCUCAGUCCGGAUUGCAGGCUGCAACCCGCCUGCAUGAAGUUGGAGUUGCUAGUAAUCGCAGGUCAGCCAUAGUGCGGUGAAUACGUUCCCGGGCCUUGUUCACCCCGCGCAUCACGUCAUGGAAGUCGGCAAUCCCUGAAGUCGGUGGGCCGGCCCCGAGGGGGCAACCGCCUAAGGUAAGGCUAGUGACUGGGUCGAAGUCGUAACAAGGUAACCAAGGGCGAA
rnacentral:rRNA from 1 species